AGUAACACGUGGGCAACCUGCCUGUAAGACUGGGAUAACUCCGGGAAACCGGGGCUAAUACCGGAUAACUCUUUUCCUCACAUGAGGAAAAGCUGAAAGAUGGUUUCGGCUAUCACUUACAGAUGGGCCCGCGGCGCAUUAGCUAGUUGGUGAGGUAACGGCUCACCAAGGCCACGAUGCGUAGCCGACCUGAGAGGGUGAUCGGCCACACUGGGACUGACACACGGCCCAGACUCCUACGGGAGGCAGCAGUAGGGAAUCUUCCGCAAUGGACGAAAGUCUGACGGAACAACGCCGCGUGAGUGAUGAAGGUUUUCGGAUCGUAAAACUCUGUUGUCAGGGAAGAACAAGUACCGGAGUAAGUGCCGGUACCUUGACGGUACCUGACCACAAAGCCACGGCUAACUACGUGCCAUCAGCCGCGGUAAUACGUAUGUGGCAAGCGUUGUCCGGAAUUAUUGGGCGUAAAGCGCGCGCAGGCGGUUCCUUAAUUCUGAUGUGAAAGCCCCCGGCUCAACCGGCGAGGGUCAUUGGAAACUGGGGAACUUGAGUGCAGAAGAGAAGAGUGGAAUUCCACGUGUAGCGGUGAAAUGCGUAGAGAUGUGGA
rnacentral:rRNA from 1 species